rnacentral:lncRNA from 1 species
CACUGGGUUAGGGAAAAAGAAAUCUGGUAUUUGGAUAUGCAUGACCUCAUUGCAGCUUAAUAUUUCUUGAGAGGUAUUAUUAUUAUUACCACCAGAGAUGAGAAAACUGAGGUUAAAGAACUUUCAUAAGAUUCUACAAUAACUGAGCAGGGAUGAAACUCAAGUCUUCUGAUGAAAAUCAAGUUCUGUCUUCUAGAUGAGUGUACAGAAGGCCUUUUUUUCCACACUGAAGUUCAAGGCUUUUUUGACUGUUCACCCCUUUGCUUCCUGCCAGAAUGCCCCAGCCCUGCUUGGUCCAUCGUGAUGCCUACCUGUGGUUUUUGGAGCCAGGGCUGCUGGACCAAAGGGAGGAAGUCUGUCAGGCAUAUGUGGAACCCAAAAGAGGAACUUCGUCAACUGUCAUGGACAGCUCUGCCACUUUGUGACCCUGUGGGUUUUUUGGGAAGUGUUUUUGUGUAUCACCAGUCUCUCAUGAGGUACCUUCCUUACAACUCCCUACCUCCCUCAGCAAAACACAAGGCCUGUGAAUGAGGGAUGCAAAAUGGACACAGAGGAGGAAGGAGGCACCUGAAGGCACCUUCUAGAAGCACAGAAUCUCACUGAAGCCUGUACACAUGCUCGUGAGCAUCAGGCUAUUGGGUAGGGGUGGAGUGGGGGUGCUCUAUAUCCAGGUGACCAUGGAGGGAAUUAUAGGUCAUAAAGGUGAUCUUUAUUUCUGAUCUGUUUUCAAU